rnacentral:sRNA from 1 species
GAUUCUCUCCUCUCCUCUUCCAGGUUUGAGAAACCCUCCAAGACCCCUCUUGGUGCCUGGUCCCUCCAGCACAGGAAGCAAUGACUCAGAUGGCGGCCUUUUUGCUGUCCCGACAACCUUGCCACCCAACAGCCGACAUGGGAAGUUCUUCUCUCCCAGUAAAGAAGCAGAGCUGACUUUCCGCCAGCAUCUGAACUCCAUCAGCAUGCAGUCGGAUUUCUUCCUGCCAAAGCCCCGGAAGCUGCGGAACCGGCACCUGCGGAAGCCACUGGUGGUCCAGAGAACACUGCUCCCUAGACCAUCGGAAAACCAGUCCCACAACGUUUGUUCCUUCUCCAUCCUGUCUAACUCUUCCGUAACUGGGAGAGGUUCGUUCCGGCCCAUCCAGUCUUCUCUGACCAAAGCAGCUCUGUCUCGGCCGAUCGUGCCCAAGGUCCUUCCACCCCAGGCCACGAGUCACCUGGCCAGUGCUAUCGACUUAGCAGCUACGAGUGCCGGCAUUCUCUCUGGGAACCCCCUCCCUGCCUUGGACACCGAGGGCUUGUCUGGCAUCUCUCCA